rnacentral:rRNA from 1 species
GACGAACGCUGGCGGCGUGCUUAACACAUGCAAGUCGAACGGAAAGGCCCUGCUUUUGUGGGGUGCUCGAGUGGCGAACGGGUGAGUAACACGUGAGUAACCUGCCCUUGACUUUGGGAUAACUUCAGGAAACUGGGGCUAAUACCGGUUAGGAGCUCCUGCUGCAUGGUGGGGGUUGGAAAGUUUCGGCGGUUGGGGAUGGUCUCGCGGCUUAUCAGCUUGUUGGUGGGGUAGUGGCUUACCAAGGCGUUGACGGGUAGCCGGCCUGAGAGGGUGACCGGCCACAUUGGGACUGAGAUACGGCCCAGACUCCUACGGGAGGCAGCAGUGGGGAAUAUUGCACAAUGGGCGGAAGCCUGAUGCAGCAACGCCGCGUGCGGGAUGACGGCCUUCGGGUUGUAAACCGCUUUCGCCUGUGACGAAGCGUGAGUGACGGUAAUGGGUAAAGAAGCACCGGCUAACUACGUG